CUUAGGAAAAGCUAUAUCUGAUGAAGAACAAGUCGAGAAGGUACCGAGGGUAUUACCAAAAUCAAAGUGGAAUAUUAAGGUGACUGCAAUCGGGGAAGCAAAUAAGGAACUUGUAGGCAUAUCCCUGGAUGAAUUAAUGGGGAAUUUAAGAACUUAUGAAAUGGAAAUUGAUGGAACUAAAGUUCUAGAAGCCCCAGAGGAUACCUUAGCUCUGAAGGCAUCUUAUAGUGAUGAAGAAAUUAAACUUAAUAAAGAACAAGUUGCCUUUAUAAC
rnacentral:lncRNA from 1 species